AGAUGCAACAUAAAAAUUUCAGAGACAGAAGAAAUCUUCCUUUGAGGGCAGUGAUACACUUAUGUGAGAUUUUGAAAAGUGAAAAAUCAAAGGUGGAAUUGACCAGUAGAUGUAAAAGUACAACAAAUAAACAAAAAUGGCAAUGUUGAAAGUGAAACUGAAAUUCAACAGAAAUAAAAGAAAUAGCAGACUGGGGGGAUAUUGACUUUGACACCAUGAUGCCAGAGGAACUUAGUGAUGGCAAACUUAUCAAUAUAAAAUGAGGAUAUUGGUUGUCAACUAGGUUGUGUGGUGGUCCUUGAUCUUGUCCAUCAAGUCCUUUUUCCCAAAGGAUAACUGAAGAAGAUCACAUACAUUCCAACUUAUUGAGUCUGAUAGGUAUUCAUCUGAUGAGCUCCUCUUCAACUGAGGAUUGAAAUGCUGUUUUUCUUCCCUGGUACAAUGUUAAAGCUUUAAACUCUUGUCAAUGAUGUGAUGUUUCAUCUGCAAUGAUCUACACUAGAAAAAUAAAAAUGUAGUUACUGACAAAAAAGCAGACCCCAGACUCAGCUGUCAGAGAGGAGAAGCAGCUGGAUGCUCGGGACUAAGGCUGGACACUGGAGAGAAACGGCUUGACUUCCGAGGGACAGCUUGAUGGUGUAACUUCAGAUAAUAAUCUAAUCUAAAGGGGAAGAUUCUUCAGGGGAAGAUUACCUGCCUACCCCAUACCUUUUUCAGCUCCCCUACCUGCUGAGAGCUACUUUUUUCAGCAAUAAAAUCCCACACAUUUACUAUCCUUCAAUUUGUUCAUUUGACCUCAUUUUUUCUGGACAUCAGACAAGAGCUCAGGAGCCACAAGUGGGGAUACAAAAGGCUCUCACACUGGCCCUUUGCACUCAUGGG
rnacentral:lncRNA from 1 species